GAGCGGACUAGAUUGGGAGGCCAGCCCUCUCCUGUAACCUUGAACGGGCUUUACUUGGAAUCGAAGCUCAAGAAGCGGUAUGCAUCUUGCUGGAAAGUCUUAUGCAGGACGACGAUGUUCUGUCCAGUUGGAUUGUGGCUGUAGGAAUCGCGUCAGGUCCGGAAGGAAGCAGCGCUAACUGGAGUUCUCAAUGUCUUCUGGGUCGCGGAACGGAGAAGUGUGUAAGGUUGCUUUUUAGUGAGUGUAUGCUCAUUGUUGGGCGUGUCCGCUC
rnacentral:SRP_RNA from 1 species